rnacentral:rRNA from 1 species
AACGAACGCUGGCGGCAUGCCUAACACAUGCAAGUCGAACGAGACCUUCGUGUCUAGUUGCGCACGUGUGCGUAACGCGUGGGAACCUGCCCUUAGGUUCGGAAUAACUCCCCGAAAGGGGUGCUAAUACCGGAUAAUGUCUUCGGACCAAAGAUUUAUCGCCUUUGGAUGGGCCCGCGUUGGUUUAGCUAGUUGGUGGGGUAAAAGCCUACCAAGGCGACGAUCCUUAGCUGGUCUGUGAGGAUGACCAGCCACACUGGGACUGAGACACGGCCCAGACUCCUACGGGAGGAAGCAGUGGGGAAUAUUGGACAAUGGGCGAAAGCCUGAUCCAGCAAUGCCGCGUGAGUGAUGAAGGCCUUAGGGUUGUAAAGCUCUUUUACCCGGGAUGAUAAUGACAGUACCGGGAGAAUAAGCUCCGGCUAACUCCGUG